rnacentral:misc_RNA from 1 species
GAAAUGCGAUAAGUAAUGUGAAUUGCAGAAUUCAGUGAAUCAUCGAAUCUUUGAACGCGCCUUGCGCUCCUUGGUAUUCCUUGGAGCAUGCCUGUUUGAGUAUCAUGAAAUCUUCAAAGUAAAUCUUUUGUUAACUCAAUUGGUUUCUACUUUGGUAUUGGAGGUCUUUGCAGCUUCACACCUGCUCCUCUUUGUUCAUUAGCUGGAUCUCAGUGUUAUGCUUGGUUCCACUCGGCGUGAUAAGUUAUCUAUCGCUGAGGACACUGUAAAAGGUGGCCAAGGUAAAUGCAGAUGAACCGCUUCUAAUAGUCCAUUUACUUGGACAAUACUUUUAUGAUCUGAUCUCAAAUCAGGUAGGACUACCCGCUCAACUUAAGC